CCCCGGCAGGCGGGGUGAACCCUGCUGCACUCUUUCACCACAACUUUCUCUCACUCUUUCUUCAUGUUUCUGUUUUAUCUGUAUUUCAAAAGCCCAGCCUUGUCACACUCUGCGUUACGUUCAAUCUCCCGAAGAUCUACGUUAAGUGUACACGUGUCUGUGGAGUACUCAGCCACUUGCAUGUUAAUUUCACGAGCGGGCUGCUUCGUUGAUUGGGUCAACUGGAUCCCGCGUCGUCGUAACCGACGGAGUGUCACACCAUGGCAACGAUUAAGGAAGGACUGUUUCGACGAAGUCGCGUAUUGUUCUUGCCUUCGGAACGCGGAGUAGAUGAAACAGGGACAACUGACGAAGGGUCAUUUAACUGCGACCAUACUGGAGUACCACCGUUGCUCACAGAAAUCGACCCAAGGACUUAUUCUUUAUAAGCCUAGUACUUUAUCGCUCUGUAUUUGCCUCACCGUUAAGUUACGGGGACAUAAACACAGCAACAUCGGUUGUCAAGCGAUAGUGGGCGGUCAAACACAGACACACAAAUACAAAAUGAUGGAGAAACUUACAAAAAAAAAACAGUCAACAUAUCCAUUCCUACAUCAUUGCAAGACAACACCAGACCACACAUCGCAAAAAUGACAUUGCCGAAACUUCAGGAGUUGGAAGUUCUCCAUCGUCCACUAUACUCACCUGAUCUUUCCCCCCUCUGACUACCACUUCUUCCAGAAUUUGGAUAAGUUUUUGAUAGGAAGAAAAUUUAAUUCUGACGAUGCUGUAAAACAGGGCUUCCAAGAUUUCAUUAACUCUAGAUUGCCAGGAUUUUACAGUUCCAGGCUGGACAAGCUACUGCUGAAAUGGCAAAAGUGUAUUGGCAAUA